GACGAACGCUGGCGGCGUGCUUAACACAUGCAAGUCGAACGGAAAGGCCCCUUUGGGGGUACUCGAGUGGCGAACGGGUGAGUAACACGUUAGUAACCUGCCCUUGACUUCGGGAUAACUUCAGGAAACUGGGGCUAAUACCGGAUAGGAAUCCUUGCUGCAUGGUGGGGGUUGGAAAGCUUCGGCGGUUUUGGAUGGACUCGCGGCUUAUCAGCUUGUUGGUGGGGUAGUGGCUUACCAAGGCUUUGACGGGUAGCCGGCCUGAGAGGGCGACCGGCCACAUUGGGACUGAGAUACGGCCCAGACGCCUACGGGAGGCAGCAGUGGGGAAUAUUGCACAAUGGGCGGAAGCCUGAUGCAGCAACGCCGCGUGCGGGAUGACGGCCUUCGGGUUGUAAACCGCUUUCAGCAGGGGCGAAGCUUGUGGUGACGGUACCUGCAGAAGAAGCACCGGCUAACUACGUG
rnacentral:rRNA from 1 species